AACUUUAAUCGGUNCUCGACGAAUGCAUCNAGAAUUAUNAUUUGAUCAUGGCUCAGAGUGAACGCUGGCGUGUAGGCCUAACACAUGCAAGUCGAACGGCAGCACAGGAGAGCUUGCUCUCAUGGGUGGCGAGUGGCGGACGGGUGAGGAAUACAUCGGAAUCUACUCUGUCGUGGGGGAUAACGUAGGAAACUCGCUCCGUCCGAACCUAACGGGGGUGAAAANGCCCGGGGCGAUCUAUCCGGGAAAACCUUGGACGGACCACNUUGAAACUGACGCCCCGACAUGGCAUCGCGAAUUUAGCCUACCUNUUGAGGGCCGGNGGCNGGGGCUAUCAAAAAGGGCCCCCCAACCCCAAAAAAGGGACGGAAACAGAAAAUCCACCGAGGAUAAACAUNGGNGACCCAAUGNAAACAAAGCGGACAUUGAAAUCCAAGGACCACGCAAACACAUGGGAAACACUACGGAANAAAACCCAACCGCGNGUCCCCAAGAACUUCCACACAACCCACNAAGCNAUGACGNCCAUGUCAACAGUCGAAGGGGACACAUAAAUUAGCUAGCAACACAGAAUACGAGANACAGGCNAAAAGACCACAUNCAACGACUCNACAAGACCAAAUA
rnacentral:rRNA from 1 species